rnacentral:rRNA from 1 species
UACGAAGGGGGCUAGCGUUGCUCGGAAUCACUGGGCGUAAAGGGUGCGUAGGCGGGCCUUUAAGUCAGGGGUGAAAUCCUGGAGCUCAACUCCAGAACUGCCUUUGAUACUGAAGAUCUUGAGUUCGGGAGAGGUGAGUGGAACUGCGAGUGUAGAGGUGAAAUUCGUAGAUAUUCGCAAGAACACCAGUGGCGAAGGCGGCUCACUGGUCCGGUACUGACGCUGAGGUGCGAAAGCGUGGGGAGCAAACAGG